AGAACCUGAAACCGUGUGCUUACAAGUAGUCAGAGCCCGUUAAUGGGUGAUGGCGUGCCUUUUGUAGAAUGAACCGGCGAGUUACGAUUUGAUGCAAGGUUAAGCAGUAAAUGUGGAGCCGUAGCGAAAGCGAGUCUGAAUAGGGCGUUUAGUAUUUGGUCGUAGACCCGAAACCAGGUGAUCUACCCUUGGUCAGGUUGAAGUUCAGGUAACACUGAAUGGAGGACCGAACCGACUUACGUUGAAAAGUGAGCGGAUGAACUGAGGGUAGCGGAGAAAUUCCAAUCGAACCUGGAGAUAGCUGGUUCUCUCCGAAAUAGCUUUAGGGCUAGCCUCAAGUGAUGAUUAUUGGAGGUAGAGCACUGUUUGGACGAGGGGCCCCUCUCGGGUUACCGAAUUCAGACAAACUCCGAAUGCCAAUUAAUUUAACUUGGGAGUCAGAACAUGGGUGAUAAGGUCCGUGUUCGAAAGGGAAACAGCCCAGACCACCAGCUAAGGUCCCAAAAUAUAUGUUAAGUGGAAAAGGAUGUGGCGUUGCCCAGACAACUAGGAUGUUGGCUUAGAAGCAGCCAUCAUUUAAAGAGUGCGUAAUAGCUCACUAGUCGAGUGACACUGCGCCGAAAAUGUACCGGGGCUAAACAUAUUACCGAAGCUGUGGAUUGUCCUUUGGACAAUGGUAGGAGAGCGUUCUAAGGGCGUUGAAGCAUGAUCGCAAGGACAUGUGGAGCGCUUAGAAGUGAGAAUGCCGGUGUGAGUAGCGAAAGACGGGUGAGAAUCCCGUCCACCGAUUGACUAAGGUUUCCAGAGGAAGGCUCGUCCGCUCUGGGUUAGUCGGG
rnacentral:rRNA from 1 species